rnacentral:rRNA from 1 species
CAGUAGCCGCGGUAAGACAGAGGAUGUAAGCGUUAUCCGGAAUGAUUGGGCGUAAAGCGUCUGUAGGUGGCUUUUCAAGUCCGCCGUCAAAUCCCAGGGCUCAACCCUGGACAGGCGGUGGAAACUACCAAGCUGGAGUACGGUAGGGGCAGAGGGAAUUUCCAGUGGAGCGGUGAAAUGCGUUGAGAUCGAAAAGAACACCAACAGCGAAAGCACUCUGCUGGGUCGACACUGACACUAAGAGACGAAAGCUAGGGGAGCAAAUGGGAUUAGAUACCCCCGUAGUCCCUGUCUCUUAUAC